CGACGAAAUGCUUCGGGGAGUUGAAAAUAAGCAUAGAUCCGGAGAUUCCCAAAUAGGUCAACCUUUUAAACUGCCUGCUGAAUCCAUGAGCAGGCAAGAGACAACCUGGCGAACUGAAACAUCUUAGUAGCCAGAGGAAAAGAAAGCAAAAGCGAUACCCGUAGUAGCGGCGAGCGAAAUGGGAGCAGCCUAAACCGUGGAAACGGGGGUGUGGGAGAGCAAUA
rnacentral:ncRNA from 1 species